CACACAGAUAAGGAAGAUGUGCUUUUCUCUCAGUGCUUGUUCUCUCUCUUCCUUUCUCUCCUUUCAGCUUCUAAAGUUUAAACCACAAGUGAUUUUUCAGGGGAACUUGACUUAUCUCCGUUGCGGUGCUUAAUAUCAGAUAUUUUAUGAUGAUCCGGGGGUCUUAUUACCAUAGCAGAGAGAAAAAGCAAUUCAGAGAAUUUCUAAAGGCAUCAAGUUCAAUGUUGUCGGGGAAGUCGAGUGCUUCUGGUUAAGCAGCUCGUAGGGGCAAGUCGGUGCGUUUUUAACCAUCUCAAAUUUACAUUACAAUCUGAUUGUUCCUCCUCUGAGAUCAAAAUAAGAGCCUCAGACAAAAGAAAAGGAAAAAACUGUUGGAUUCAUUAUUGGAAUUUAGUGGUGCCAAACUGAAAUGGAAUGCCUGGCCUUAAGGAUAACAGCUUGCUUGCUGCAUAGUGGAGCUGCUCUCUGCCACCAGGCAGAUGGGCUUUAGAGUCCUUUCCACUAUGACCUAUUAUGUUACAUACAUUUAUAUACAUGUAGCUGUGGAACAGAGGCGUUGAAUUGCAACAAUGCAUAACUGGAGAGCAGCAAGAGUGCCCAAAAGAGGUGUGCAAUUCGGCCAAAAGGUUCCUUUUUCGGCUAACCCCUCAUUCUGCUUACUGGGAAGUUACUCGAAUUGGAGGGUUAAUCUGCAAUCCAUGGAUCUGUGCAAACUCCAUCCCAUCUUGAAGCCUAUUCCUGGGGUGCCUGCAUAAGUACUCUGAGGCAAAUUGGAUUUCUUUGAUCCAUAUCCUGAAUUGGAUUAAACAGCUUUGAACUCCCACCAUGAAAUAAAGAGCCAGACACAAGAAAA